rnacentral:lncRNA from 1 species
UCCUACAACUUUCGUUCACAAUGUUUUCUCAGAUUAUGUUCGAACUGUUCUCAAAAUUACAAAACUUAAUCAGAUCCUGCUUAUUCUUUGAGUUCUGAAUCAGCGGACGUUUUAUUUAAUUCCCAAUUCGUUAUAACUCCGAUUUCGAUGAGCCUUACCUUUUCAGAAAGGUCUUUUCGUUCUCUACGACUUUCGUGUUUUGAGUUUUUCCAGAAAACAUUGUUUAGAGGGUCAAAACAGUAUAUUAUUGGUCUGGGCAGAUUGCAAUCAUGGAGAUAAUUGGAGUUUAAGUUAAAGUCGGGGUUCGGGAGUUUAGUUGGUCCCUUGCGAGGUUCGUUAGUCUUUGAGUUUGCUAUUUUCGAGGUACGGAUU